rnacentral:rRNA from 1 species
AUACGUAGGGGGCGAGCGUUGUCCGGAAUGAUUGGGCGUAAAGGGCGCGUAGGCGGCCCGGUAAGUCUGGAGUGAAAGUCCUGUUUUUAAGAUGAGAAUUGCUUUGGAUACUGUCGGGCUUGAGUGCAGGAGAGGUAAGUGGAAUUCCCAGUGUAGCGGUGAAAUGCGUAGAGAUUGGGAGGAACACCAGUGGCGAAGGCGACUUACUGGACUGUAACUGACGCUGAGGCGCGAAAGUGUGGGGAGCAAACAGGAUUAGAUACCCUGGUAGUCCACACUGUAAACGAUGAAUGCUAGGUGUAGGGGGUAUCGACCCCUUCUGUGCCGCAGUCAGCACAAUAAGCAUUCCGCCUGGGGAGUACGGCCGCAAGGUUGAAACUCAAAUGAAUUGACGGGG